UCAGCCCUACGGGGCGCAGCAGUGAGGAAUAUUGGUCAAUGGGCGGGAGCCUGAACCAGCCAAGUCGCGUGAGGGAAGACGGUCCUAUGGAUUGUAAACCUCUUUAGGCGGGGAGCAAUGCCGGGCACGCGUGCCCGGAGGGAGAGUACCCGCAGAAUAAGCAUCGGCUAACUCCGUGCCAGCAGCCGCGGUAAUACGGAGGAUGCGAGCGUUAUCCGGAUUUAUUGGGUUUAAAGGGUGCGUAGGCGGGCUGUUAAGUCAGCGGUCAAAUGUCGGGGCUCAACCCCGGCCUGCCGUUGAAGCUG
rnacentral:rRNA from 1 species